CCUAACACAUGCAAGUCGAACGGUAACAGGAAGAAGCUUAGCUUCUUUGCUGACGAGUGGCGGACGGGUGAGUAAUGUCUGGGAAACUGCCUGAUGGAGGGGGAUAACUACUGGAAACGGUAGCUAAUACCGCAUAACGUCGCAAGACCAAAGAGGGGGACCUUCGGGCCUCUUGCCAUCGGAUGUGCCCAGAUGGGAUUAGCUAGUAGGUGGGGUAACGGCUCACCUAGGCGACGAUCCCUAGCUGGUCUGAGAGGAUGACCAGCCACACUGGAACUGAGACACGGUCCAGACUCCUACGGGAGGCAGCAGUGGGGAAUAUUGCACAAUGGGCGCAAGCCUGAUGCAGCCAUGCCGCGUGUAUGAAGAAGGCCUUCGGGUUGUAAGAC
rnacentral:rRNA from 1 species